rnacentral:rRNA from 1 species
GCAGAAGAAGCNCNGGCUAANUCNGNGCCAGCNGCNGCGGUAAUNCGGAGGGUGCANGCGUUANUNGGAAUUACUNGGCGUAAAGCGCACGCNGGCGNUCUGUUAAGUNAGAUGUGAAAUCCCCGGGCUCAACNNNGGAACUGCAUUUGAAACUGGCAGGCNUGANUNUUGUAGAGGGGGGUAGAAUUCCAGGUGNAGCGGUGAAAUGCGUAGAGAUCNGGAGGAAUACCGGUGGCGAAGGCGGCCCCCUGGACAAAGACUGACGCUCAGGUGCGAAAGCGUGGGGAGCAAACAGGAUUAGAUACCNUGGUAGUCCACGCUGUAAACGAUGUCGACUUGGAGGUUGUUCCCUUGAGGAGUGGCUUCCGGAGCUAACGCGUUAAGUCGACCGCCUGGGGAGUACGGCCGCAAGGUUAAAACUCAAAUGAAUUGACGGGGGCCCGCACAAGCGGUGGAGCAUGUGGUUUAAUUCGAUGCAACGCGAAGAACCUUACCUACUCUUGACAUCCAGAGAACUUAGCAGAGAUGCUUUGGUGCCUUCGGGAACUCUGAGACAGGUGCUGCAUGGCUGUCGUCAGCUCGUGUUGUGAAAUGUUGGGUUAAGUCCCGCAACGAGCGCAACCCUUAUCCUUUGUUGCCAGCGNUUCGGNCGGGAACUCAAAGGAGACUGCCAGUGAUAAACUGGAGGAAGGUGGGGAUGACGUCAAGUCAUCAUGGCCCUUACGAGUAGGGCUACACACGUGCUACAAUGGCAUAUACAAAGAGAAGCGACCUCGCGAGAGCAAGCGGACCUCAUAAAGUAUGUCGUAGUCCGGAUUGGAGUCUGCAACUCGACUCCAUGAAGUCGGAAUCGCUAGUAAUCGUAGAUCAGAAUGCUACGGUGAAUACGUUCCCGGGCCUUGUACACACCGCCCGUCACACCAUGGGAGUGGGUUGCAAAAGAAGUAGGUAGCUUANCCUUCGGGAGGGC